AUUGAACGCUGGCGGCAUGCCUUACACAUGCAAGUCGAACGGCAGCACGGGAGCAAUCCUGGUGGCGAGUGGCGAACGGGUGAGUAAAGUAUCGGAACGUGCCCAGUCGUGGGGGAUAACGUAGCGAAAGUUACGCUAAUACCGCAUACGAUCUAUGGAUGAAAGCGGGGGAUCGCAAGACCUCGCGCGAUUGGAGCGGCCGAUAUCAGAUUAGGUAGUUGGUGGGGUAAAGGCUAACCAAGCCGACGACCUGUAGCUGGUCUGAGAGGACGACCAGCCACACUGGGACUGCGACACGGCCCAGACUCCUACGGGAGGUAGCAGUGGGGAAUUUUGGACAAUGGGCGCAGGCCUGAGCCAGCCAUGCCGCGUGCAGGAUGAAGGCCUUCGGGUUGUAAACUGCUUUUGUACGGAACGAAAAGGUUUGACUUAAUACGUUGGACUCAUGACGGUACCGUAAGAAUAAGCACCGGCUAACUACGUGCCAGCAGCCGCCGUAA
rnacentral:rRNA from 1 species